rnacentral:rRNA from 1 species
AGUGAACGCUGGCGGCGUGCCUAAUACAUGCAAGUCGAACGAAGUGGGCACGGGUGAGUAAUAUAUAGUUAAUCUCCCUACACAGAGGACAACAGUUGGAAACGACUGAUAAACCUAUAGUGUAUGAUGAGACUAUUGCGUAGCAGCUAGUUGGUAAGGUAAUGGCUUCCCAAGGCUAUGACGCGUAACAGGUCUGAGAGGAUGAUCAGUCACAUUGGAACUGAGACACGGUCCAAACUCCUACGGGAGGCAGCAGUAGGGAAUCGUCGGCAAUGGACGAAAGUCUGACCGAGCAACGCCGCGUGAGUGAAGAAGGUUUUCGGAUCGUACAACUCUGUUGUUAGAGAAGCGGUAUCUAACCAGAAAGCCACGGCUAACUACGUGCCAGCAGCCGCGGUAAUAC